rnacentral:rRNA from 1 species
UGCAUAUCAAAAAAGCGGAGGAAAAGAAACUAACAAGGAUUCCCCUAGUAACUGCGAGUGAAGCGGGAAAAGCUCAAAUUUAAAAUCUGGUGGUCUUUGGCCAUCCGAGUUGUAAUCUAGAGAAGUGUUAUCCGCGCUGGACCGUGUACAAGUCCCCUGGAAUGGGGCGUCAUAGAGGGUGAGAAUCCCGUCUUUGACACGGACUACCAGGGCUUUGUGAUGCACUCUCAAAGAGUCGAGUUGUUUGGGAAUGCAGCUCAAAAUGGGUGGUAAAUUCCAUCUAAAGCUAAAUAUUGGCGAGAGACCGAUAGCGAACAAGUACCGUGAGGGAAAGAUGAAAAGAACUUUGGAAAGAGAGUUAAACAGUACGUGAAAUUGUUGAAAGGGAAACGCUUGAAGUCAGUCGCGUCUGCCAGGGAUCAACCUUACUUUUGUGAGGCGUACUUCCUGGUUGAUGGGUCAGCAUCAGUUUUGGUCGCUGGAUAAAGGUCAGAGAAAUGUGGCUCCCUCGGGUGUGUUAUAGUCUUUGAUCAGAUACAGUGGCUGGGACUGAGGAACUCAGCGCCGCAAGGCUGUCUUAGGAUGCUGGCAAAAUGGCUUUAAUCGACCCGUCUUGAAACACGGACAAAGGAGUC